AUUGAACGCUGGCGGCAGGCCUAACACAUGCAAGUCGAACGAGUGGCGGACGGGUGAGUAAUGUCUGGGAAACUGCCUGAUGGAGGGGGAUAACUACUGGAAACGGUAGCUAAUACCGCAUACCAUCGGAUGUGCCCAGAUGGGAUUAGCGAGUAGGUGGGGUAAAGGCUCACCUAGGCGACGAUCCCUAGCUUGUCUAAGAGGAUGACCAGCAACACGGGAACUGAGACACGGUCCAGACUCCUACGGGAGGCAGCAGUGGGGAAUAUUGCACAAUGGGCGCAAGCCUGAUGCAGCCAUGCCGCGUGUAUGAAGAAGGCCUUCGGGUUGUAAAGUACGUUCAGCGGGGAGGCGUUACCCGCAGAAGAAGCACCGGCUAACGCCGUGCCAGCCGCCGCGGUAAUAC
rnacentral:rRNA from 1 species